AGCAACGUACGACAAACAUGUGCUUCCAAAAUAAACGAUGAAGACAAGAAAACACAUGAAAAUAGUCUGUCUUAAAUUAUUGAUAUCUGAAUUAAAAAAUGGUAGAAUGCUUCUUCCCACUCUGUUCCACCAUUAGUUAACUACGAAUCCCAGUACAAUGGCUGCUCUCCAAGUCUCUUUCUCUCUCUCUCUGUGUCAAUCAAAACGACCCAAACCCAAGAAACCAUCCAAAUCCAUCAGUCGAUUCACCACGUAAAACCCACAAACAAAAAUGCUCUCAACAGGGCUCUCUCUGUUUUCAUCACCCCAAAAUAUUAUCCACUGUUCUCCCCUGCAUCCCACCCGAAACCCACGAAAAUCCCACUUCUUUUUCGUGGUUUCAAGCAGUUCUACAACAAAGAUGUCGGCGACGGCGCCUGCUGCGACGAAGACGAGCUUCAGGUUCAAGAAUUUGAUGGAGACGUUCGAAGUUGAUGUGCAGAGAGCGGAGAAUAGGCCACUGAAUGUUCCUUUGAUUGCGCCGUUUACGAUUGCGUCGUCGAGGCUGGAGAGGGUGGAGAAUGUAGCAAUCAGGAUCGAGCUGAGAAAUGGGUGUGCGGGAUGGGGUGAGGCUCCAAUUUUGCCUUUUGUGACUGCGGAGGACCAGAGCACAGCGAUGGCGAAGGCGGCCGAGGCUUGUGAAUUGCUAAGGCGGAGUCCGGCUAUGACGUUGGGGUCGUUGCUGGCGGAGAUUGGUGGGGUUCUUCCUGGACAUGAGUUUGCUUCUGUUAGGGCAGGAGUCGAAAUGGCUGUGAUAGAUGCCGUUGCUACUAGCAUUGGUGUACCCUUGUGGAGACUGUUUGGUGGAGUUUCAAAUACCAUAACAACUGAUAUAACAAUUCCAAUUGUUUCCCCAGCUGAAGCUGCUGAAUUGGCUUCCAAGUAUCACAGUCAAGGAUUCAAGACUUUGAAGCUUAAGGUAGGAAAGAAUCUGAAAGCAGAUAUAGAAGUUCUUCAGGCCAUACGUGUGGCACAUCCUGAGUGCUUGUUUAUCUUGGAUGCCAAUGAGGGCUACAAACCGAGGGAAGCAAUUGAAGUUCUUGAAAAAUUACAUGAAAUGGGGGUCACUCCUGUUCUUUUUGAACAGCCUGUUCAUAGAGAUGAUUGGGAAGGUCUUGGUCAUGUUACCGGCAUUGCAAAAGACAAAUAUGGGGUAUCUGUUGCAGCUGAUGAAAGUUGUCGAAGCUUAGUUGACGUUAAGAAAAUAGUCCAAGAAAAACUUGCGGAUGUCAUUAACAUUAAGCUUGCCAAAGUUGGGGUUGUGGGAGCCCUUGAGAUUAUUGAGUUGGCAAGGGCGUCAGGGUUACAUCUGAUGAUUGGUGGUAUGGUUGAGACUAGAUUGGCCAUGGGCUUUGCUGGUCACCUUGCUGCUGGCCUUGGGUGUUUCAAGUUCAUUGACCUAGAUACACCCCUUUUGCUAUCUGAAGAUCCAGUUCUUGGGGGUUAUGAAGUCUCUGGUGCGGUCUACAAGUUCAGAAAUUCUAGAGGCCAUGGUGGUUUCCUUCAUUGGGACAAUAUUGCUUGACCUGGAACUUUUUGGUUGCUUCCUUACUUCUGGACUGUGAGCAGAGUUUAUAUGAUUCUCUUGCUUGAACUAUGCUUAGCCUGGCAGGCCCCCAUUUUAUGAGGGGCUGAACUGAUCUGUGCUUGUAUUGAUGUGUCUCCAGGUCCUGUAUAGGGGUGUGCACUGACUCUGUUGGAGUCGGAAACCCCCUUUCCACAUUCCGCCUCUACUGGAGUCGGAGGAGUCAGAAAACCUCCAACUUUUCCUCUUGAGGAGGGAAUUUCCACCCUGCCUGAGCCUCCAAAAUGUUGGAGGUGGAGUUGGGCAAAAGUGUCAAAAGUGAACUUGGGCUUUUUCUGGAAUUUUUUGGGCCUUGCCAACCAGUAUUUUUUCAGGCUUUAUU